rnacentral:lncRNA from 1 species
GAGAAUGAAGUGUCUCUUUUCUCUUCCUCAGUGCUGUGUUUUCUUCCUAUGAGAAGAAAAAAGAAAAGACUCCAGAUGCAGAGCCUCAAAUUGUCAGCAGAUUUUUUGAAACUCCCCUGGAAUUUGUAUUGGUGAUACCGAGUUUGGUGCAGACUGACAACUUUAUUUCUUUCUUCCAAGUGUAAAAUGUGAUAUAUGCUUCAUAUAAAAAUUCAAAUCGUGCAGAAAAGCACAAAGAAGACAGUAGAAAUCACUUGAAUUCCCCUUCUCUGAAGAUAGCCACCAUUUAUUUAUGUUUUGCUGAAGACAAAGUCUUGUCUUGAAGGUAAGAUUUACAUUUUGCCUUGGAGACUUCUUUCUAUGAACAUGUACAUGUAAAUGUGAUUGUACAUAAUGUUCUAGAACUUGGCUUUUCUAGUCAACAAUACUUUUGGACAUUUUUCUAUGCAAGUACAUGUAGCUCUGCAUCUGUGAUUCUCAUUAUGUCCUUCUUCCUCUUCUAGAUAAGAGUAUGAUGCAUAAGUGGAAUGACAUGGAAACGUAUAAAAAUGGAGAGACACCAGCAUCAUAAUUCAUAAUAUCAUAUAUCCACUGUACUGAGAUGCUACAUUUUUUUUUACCUUAUUCCUUCAUGGUUGGUGUUUGUUUUCAAUAAUUUAUAAUUAAAAGUUUGUUGGGUCUUUGUUUCCUACAAGUUUUUAAUUUUUUAACCUAUUUAUAGAUACUACUUUUAUCUUUACCCUAACUCUUAUCUAUGGUCUG